CAGCAGCCGCGGUAAUACGUAGGGGGCGAGCGUUGUCCGGAAUUAUUGGGCGUAAAGCGCGCGCAGGCGGUCCCUUAAGUCUGAUGUGAAAGCCCACGGCUCAACCGUGGAGGGUCAUUGGAAACUGGGGGACUUGAGUGCAGAAGAGGAGAGCGGAAUUCCACGUGUAGCGGUGAAAUGCGUAGAGAUGUGGAGGAACACCAGUGGCGAAGGCGGCUCUCUGGUCUGUAACUGACGCUGAGGCGCGAAAGCGUGGGGAGCAAACAGGAUUAGAUACCCUGGUAGUCCACGCCGUAAACGAUGAGUGCUAAGUGUUAGAGGGGUUAAACCCUUUAGUGCUGGAGCUAACGCGUUAAGCACUCCGCCUGGGGAGUACGGCCGCAAGGCUGAAACUUAAAGGAAUUGGCGGG
rnacentral:rRNA from 1 species